GGAGUUAAGAAAUGUAAGUGCGCUAAUAUCGCAUUUAUUUGACGAAGGCUCCAGAGGAAGUCACGGCUAACUCUGUGCCAGCAGCCGCGGUAAUACAGAGGUGGCAAGCGUUGUUCGGAAUUAUUGGGCGUAAAGAGCACGUAGGUGGGUUUGUAAGUCAGAUGUGAAAGCCUUCUGUUCAACGGAAGAAUUGCAUCUGAAACUACGAAUCUUGAGUGUAGGAGGGGAGAGUGGAACUUCUGGU
rnacentral:rRNA from 1 species